AGCCCCGGAGCCUUUUAGGGCUCUUCUUUAAACUUGCAUUUUAAUGUGAAACACUUCGGGACUU
rnacentral:tRNA from 1 species